rnacentral:rRNA from 1 species
AUUGAACGCUGGCGGCAGGCUUAACACAUGCAAGUCGAGCGAGCGGCGGACGUAUGAGUAAUGUGUGGGAAAAUGCCUGAUGGAGGGGGAUAAAUACUGGAAACGGUAGCUAAUAACGCAUACAAUCAGAUGUGCACAGAUGGGAUUAGCUAGUAGGUAGGGUAAUGGCUUACCUAGGGGAAGAUCCCUAGCUGGGAUGAGAGGAUGAUCGGCCACAUUGGAACUGAGACACGGCCCAGACUCCUACGGGAGGCAGCAGUGGGGAAUAUUGCACAAUGGGCGAAAGUCUGAUGCAGCCACGCCGCGUGUGUGAAGAAGGUUUUCGGAUUGUAAAGCACUUUUAGUGGGGAGGCGUUACUCACAGAAAAAGCACCGGCUAACUCCGUGCCAGCAGCCGCGGUAAUAC